UACGGGGGGGGCAAGCGUUGUUCGGAAUUACUGGGCGUAAAGGGCUCGUAGGCGGCCAACUAAGUCGGACGUGAAAUCCCUCGGCUCAACCGGGGAACUGCGUCCGAUACUGGAUGGCUUGAAUCCGGGAGAGGGAUGCGGAAUUCCAGGUGUAGCGGUGAAAUGCGUAGAUAUCAGGAGGAACACCGGUGGCGAAGGCGGGUCUCUGGGCCGAUACUGACGCUGAGGCACGAAAGCGUGGGGAGCAAACAGG
rnacentral:rRNA from 1 species